rnacentral:rRNA from 1 species
UAGGGAAUCUUCCACAAUGGACGAAAGUCUGAUGGAGCCAAUGCCGCGUGAGUGAAGAAGGUUUUCGGAUCGUAAAGCUCUGUUGCGAGGGAAGAACACGUACGGGAGUAACUGCCCGUACCUUGACGGUACCUCGUCAGAAAGCCACGGCUAACUACGUGCCAGCAGCCGCGGUAAUACGUAGGUGGCAAGCGUUGUCCGGAAUUAUUGGGCGUAAAGCGCGCGCAGGCGGUCCUUUAAGUCUGAUGUGAAAGCCCACGGCUCAACCGUGGAGGGUCAUUGGAAACUGGGGGACUUGAGUACAGAAGAGGAAAGCGGAAUUCCACGUGUAGCGGUGAAAUGCGUAGAGAUGUGGAGGAACACCAGUGGCGAAGGCGGCUUUCUGGUCUGUAACUGACGCUGAGGCGCGAAAGCGUGGGGAGCAAACAGGAUUAGAUACCCUGGUAGUCCACGCCGUAAACGAUGAGUGCUAAGUGUUAGGGGGUUUCCGCCCCUUAGUGCUGCAGCUAACGCAUUAAGCACUCCGCCUGGGG